GACGAACGCUGGCGGCGUGCCUAAUACAUGCAAGUCGAGCGGACGGAUGGGAGCUUGCUCCCAGACCGUCAGCGGCGGACGGGUGAGUAACACGUGGGCAGCCUGCCUGUAAGACUGGGAUAACUCCGGGAAACCGGGGCUAAUACCGGAUAACUCUUUCCCUCACAUGAGGGAAAGCUGAAAGAUGGCAUCUCGCUAUCACUUACAGAUGGGCCCGCGGCGCAUUAGCUAGUUGGGGAGGUAACGGCUCACCAAGGCGACGAUGCGUAGCCGACCUGAGAGGGUGAUCGGCCACACUGGGACUGAGACACGGCCCAGACUCCUACGGGAGGCAGCAGUAGGGAAUCUUCCGCAAUGGACGAAAGUCUGACGGAGCAACGCCGCGUGAGUGAUGAAGGUUUUCGGAUCGUAAAACUCUGUUGUCAGGGAAGAACAAGUACCGGAGUAACUGCCGGUACCUUGACGGUACCUGACCAGAAAGCCACGGCUAACUACGUG
rnacentral:rRNA from 1 species